rnacentral:rRNA from 1 species
AUUGAACGCUGGCGGCAGGCCUAACACAUGCAAGUCGAACGGAGUGGCGGACGGGUGAGUAAUGUCUGGGAAACUGCCUGCUGGAGGGGGAUAACUACUGGAAACGGUAGCUAAUACCGCAUACUAUCAGAUGAGCCUAGGUCGGAUUAGCUAGUUGGUGGGGUAAAGGCCUACCAAGGAGACGAUCCGUAACUGGUCUGAGAGGAUGAUCAGGCACACUGGAACUUAGACACGGCCCAGACUCCUACGGGAGGCAGCAGUGGGGAAUAUUGGACAAUGGGCGAAAGCCUGAUCCAGCCAUGCCGCGUGUGUUAAGAAGGUCUUCGGAUUGUAAAGCACUUUAAGUUGGGAGGCGUUACCAACAGAAUAAGCACCGGCUAACUUCGUGCCAGCAGCCGCGGUAAUUC